GGAUGUGAGGGCGAUCUGGCUGCGACAUCUGUCACCCCAUUGAUCGCCAGGGUUGAUUCGGCUGAUCUGGCUGGCUAGGCGGGUGUCCCCUUUCUCCCUCACCGCUCCACGUGCGUCCCUCCCGAAGCUGCGCGCUCGGUCGAAGAGGACGACCAUCCCCGCUAGAGGAGGACCGGUCUUCGGUCAAGGGUAUACGAGUAGCUGCGCUCCCCUGCUAGAACCUCCAAACAAGCUCUCAAAGUCCAUCUACUCGAAGUGUGGUCCACACAUCUUCCACUGUGACAUCACCUGAGAACUUCUUAGAAAGGCAGAAUCUCAGG
rfam:Chlorocebus sabaeus isolate 1994-021 chromosome 8, whole genome shotgun sequence.